rnacentral:lncRNA from 1 species
AACUUGCUCUUUUUGUACAAAAAAACUUCUGAUUUCCUGCUACGACCAAAUAUUUUCAGAUAUAGAAAUAAAAGAUCGCUUCUCCCCUCGAGUAAUUUAGUGAAGUAGAAGAGAUAAACAAAGAAACAAUUAUAAAAUGAAUCAUCUUUCACAGCCUGAAAGACGAUUAAAGAAGCCCAAUUGCAGAACUUUUAAAAACAGAAUUCUUUAGGUAUUUCCAAAGGAACCAGGAACCACCAUGGAAAUGGGGAUCAUCCUCUUCACUUCUGAUUACAGCCAUGACGAAACUCAUUAGUUACCCUCCUGCCCAGGGAGAUGAGGAGGAAGUUCAAAGAGACAUUAAACAUCUACCAAGACAAAAGCAUCCUUUGCGGGAGGGGAGGCUGUGGAAAUUCCAAGGACUCUCUGGAUAAGAAAAGCUCUUAAUCAACUCCCAUGUCCUGGACUGCGGGAAUCAUCUCCUAUCCAGACCUGCAAGAAUCAACACCUUCCUGGUUUGCUGGUGAUUUCUUAGCAAAACUUGACUAUAUGCUAAGCUUGUCGGCAACCCAGUAUCUAUCACACUGAAAUUGUCUGAUCAAUCUCACUUCUUUAAUGAUAUUUUAAAUUAAGCAACUUCUUGUGGCAUUUCAGUGGCCUUUGUCAAUGUUCCAGGAGACACUAUUUUCUGAAACUCAAUAUUCCAUUUGCAAUUUCCCCAGGUCCCACCUAUUAGGUUAAAAAAAAUGAAGAAUAUGGUUCAUAACAACAAUAACCAAUGGUAGUCACUGCUAAGUUACUUUAUUUCUCAUUGAAAAACAACAGUGGCUUAAGGUGAACUUGGCCAGGAUAGCUUGUUCUAGC